rnacentral:misc_RNA from 1 species
GUCUCGGCGAGAAUGAGUGAACUGUAAGCAGUUUUAAAGAAUUGAAUGUUUAAAUCUAAAGCAAAUGAGUGGUGUUCUUUAAUAUUACUCAAUAUACUGCCCUUCUGAUAUUUCCCAACUGCAAGUUAACAUGUGAUCAUUUAUAUUCAUUUACUUAUAAGAAUUAGGUUUCAUUUGAAAUUCUUAAACUUGAAGAUGAUUUUUUUUAUUUUAUUUUUUCAGAAGGUACGAACUGCUGAUCAAUUUUGUGUUGUGAUUAUCAGCAGUAUGCCAAUAUGCUUUGAUUAUUUUAUUUUUCCUUCUCUAGAAAUUCAGUUUGUGCAUAUCUUGUCUUCUGGUGAAAGUGAUUAGAUUUACCUGAUUGGAAUGAUGAUAUGUCCGAGUUUUGUUCAUUUAAUGGUUAAAUCUCUUGGUGUAGACUGAGUAUUCUUUCCGUUAUGGAACAACUAACCUAGCUUAAUAAUUUUUUUUGCUAAAUAUGUUAUCACUUACUUCAACCUGACCUCAGAGGAUGGAGGUGAUUCAUUCUUAAACAAUUUGAUCCUUUUUCUGAUGCCUCUAAAUAUAUGUUAAAUAUACUAAAAAAAUAAUGUGCAGUAUUGGAUUUCAUAUUAUUUUUAUUUGCUUAUGCUGAUUGUCAAAUUUUCAGUCAUUUUUAGGGCUUGAGAUACAAUUUCUGAAAAAAAAAAAGAUUGUUUU